GGCCCGAUAGCUCAGUUGGUAGAGCAGCGGAUUGAAAAUUCGCGUGUCGGCGGUUCAAAUCCGUCUCGGGCCACCA
rnacentral:tRNA from 1 species